GAUGAGUCUGCGUCUGAUUAGCUAGAUGGUGGGGUAACGGCUUACCAUGGCGACGAUCAGUAGUCGGCCUGAGAGGGUGACCGGCCACAUUGGGACUGAGACACGGCCCAAACUCCUACGGGAGGCAGCAGUGGGGAAUCUUCCGCAAUGGGCGAAAGCCUGACGGAGCAACGCCGCGUGAUCGAAUGAAGGCCUUCGGGUUGUAAAGAUCUGUUGACAGGGACGAAUAAGCAAUGCGAAUAGUUUUGUGUAUGACGGUACCUGUUUAGAAAGCUCCGGCUAACUACGUGCCAGCAGCCGCGGUAAUACGUAGGGAGCAAGCGUUGUCCGGAAUUACUGGGCGUAAAGGGCGCGUAGGUGGGCGCUUAAGUCAGGUGUGAAAACUCCGGGCUCAACCUGGAGACUGCACUUGAAACUGGGUGUCUUGAGGGCAGGAGAGGAAAGUGGAAUUCCUAGUGUAGCGGUGAAAUGCGUAGAUAUUAGGAGGAACACCAGUGGCGAAGGCGACUUUCUGGACUGUACCUGACGCUGAGGCGCGAAAGCGUGGGUAGCGAACGGGAUUAGAUACCCCGGUAGUCCACGCCGUAAACGAUGAAUACUAGGUGU
rnacentral:rRNA from 1 species